rnacentral:hammerhead_ribozyme from 1 species
AUUCAGCUGACGAGUCCCGAAUAGAACGAAACGCGUGUCCUGGAU